UCCUAGUACGAGAGGACCGGAGUGGACGAACCUCUGGUGUUCCGGUUGUCACGCCAGUGGCAUUGCCGGGUAGCUACGUUUGGACGGGAUAACCGCUGAAAGCAUCUAAGCGGGAAGCCUCCCUCGAGAUGAGAUCUCCCUGACCCCUUGAGGGUCCUGAAGGGCCGUGGAAGACCACCACGUUGAUAGGCGGGAUGUGGACGCGCUGCGAGGCGUGAAGCUAACCCGUACUAAUUGCCCGUGCGGCUUGACCAUAUAACGCCAAAGCAGUU
rnacentral:rRNA from 1 species